CUACAAGUACAAAGUCUUUGUAAAACGAAAAACACAUCCAUAAGCAAUUGUUAGGUUAAUUAUAUCCACUACUUGAUUCUAAAUAUUUCCAAGUUCAAAAGCAAAAAUCCAUGGACAAAAAUCAGAAAUUGUGCUACGAUAUUGGUGUAGCUAAGGGCCAAGCCCAGGUAAAAGGUAGUCAAUUGAUGGAGAAGGCUGGGACUGUUGUGCAGUCUGCCAAGGAAACAGCGCAAGAGGUGGGGCAGCAAGUGAAGACCA